UACGAAGGGUGCAAGCGUUACUCGGAAUUACUGGGCGUAAAGCGUGCGUAGGUGGUGCGUUAAGUCUGUCGUGAAAGCCCCGGGCUCAACCUGGGAAUGGCGAUGGAUACUGGCGCGCUAGAGUGCGGUAGAGGAGAGUGGAAUUCCCGGUGUAGCAGUGAAAUGCGUAGAGAUCGGGAGGAACAUCAGUUGCGAAGACGGCUCUCUGGACCAGCACUGACACUGAGGCACGAAAGCGUGGGGAGCAAACAGG
rnacentral:rRNA from 1 species